CACUCCCAUUGAAACAAAUGUUGUAAAUCCUCAAAUUUGUUUCCAAAAGAAGUUAUUUUAUUCCAUUAAGAUCAUAGAUGGUGUAAAUCCAAACAGUAUUUCUCCUGAUUGUGUGUCCCACGUUGCCUUCAGUCUGUUGUGAGCAGAGAAAUCAUUUCCAUAGAGAGGAGGCUUUGCAUCGUCAGCUGAUCCUCCAGUGAACUGAGAAGGUUUAUAGUCCUGUGAGUUCAACACUGCAGGACUCAGAUCUGUCAGUCAACACAGCAGAAAGCACAACCACCAUGACUCUCAUCACCAUCCUCAUCUGGACGCUGGCCUUCUGCUGUUUUACAGGAUGCAGCGGUCAGGUGACUGUGACUCAACCUCCAGUAGUGACAUCUACUCCAGGAUCCACUGUCAUUCUCACCUGUAAAACCAGCCAGGCUGUUGCUAGAUAUAGUAGUGGAGAUGCUAUGUACUGGUAUCAACAGAAAUCUGGACAGACUCCAAAACUCCUAAUAAAAUUUGCAAGCACACGUGAAUCAGGAAUACCAGCUCGGUUUAGUGGCAGUGGAAGCAGGUCUGACUUCUCUUUGACCAUCAGUGGAGUUCAGACUGAAGAUGCAGCAGUUUACUACUGUCAGAGUUACCACAGUGGUACAGUGUUCACACAGUGAUUUGUAGUCGUACAAAAACCUCCCUCAGUCAGACUGCAGAGACACUGAGCUGUUACAGCAGGAACCGACUGCAGCUGCUGAAGAGGAAGAGACUCUGACACAGACCACUGAACACAGAGCUGACAGUAACCUCACCAAGCACAAACUGUACCAAUCACAAACAACAUGUACACAUGAAUAUAUUGGCAUAUUUUAUAUUUUUAAAUAUCUUCCUUUUAUUCCAUGUCAAAAAGUGUGAAACUGACAUUGAAACUAACCAUCAUGAUGUUCAUUUUCCACAUACAGUGAUAUCAGAAGUUGUGAAAAAAAAAAAAAAAAAACGGAACAUUUUCCACAAUCUAGAAACUUAGACACACAUCCACAUGUUGUUUGUCACUCAGAUAUUUGCUGAUUCACUGUCUUGUUGACUGAUACAAACUCUCAUAUCUGUCAGUUAAAGACAAAGCAAGAGCCAGUAGCCAGUUAGCUUAGCUUAGCAUAACAACUGGA